UACAGAGGUCCCGAGCGUUGUUCGGAUUCAUUGGGCGUAAAGGGUGCGUAGGCGGCGGGGCAAGUCUGAUGUGAAAUCCCGGGGCUCAACCCCGGAACUGCAUUGGAUACUGCCUUGCUUGAGUACUGGAGAGGGAACUGGAAUUUACGGUGUAGCAGUGAAAUGCGUAGAGAUCGUAAGGAAGGCCAGUGGCGAAGGCGAGUUCCUGGACAGUUACUGACGCUGAGGCACGAAGGCCAGGGGGAGCAAACGGG
rnacentral:rRNA from 1 species